CCCCUAGCAGCAGUAUGUCACUAGCAGCUCUCAUGGCCAUCAGGGGGGUACAGCUAGUUCACCAGUAAGGGGCCCGAGCCCCCGCUGCACCCCCGCCCCCCGGAGCCAUCUACUCCGCAUCCUUUUUUUAAAUAAAUCUUCAGCCUGCAGCCCUGUCACCACGCAGGGGCUGCGCUAUGCAGACUGGGAAGAGCAGACAGGAAGCUCCUCCCCCUCUCUCACUCCCCUGUAUACUGGACCUUGUGGAGCAGGCCCGCUGUGUGUAUACAGGCCCGGACACCACCAGUAUGGAAGACUUACCUGCCCAGUGCCCACUGCUCAUGCUGCCCUUUUAAAGAUAUCACGCUCUCUUCUUUACCACACACUGCCACCUGGCAUCAGGGACAGUUACACAUCUAUGCAUACAUAGAGACCAUCGACACAUUGAGGAUUAUUACCACUAUCUGCAGAUUACAUCAACAUUCAACAAUAAAAGUAUCUCUAUUGUUUAACCCUUUCAGCGCUGGGAUAUGUUUAUUUAAAUAUAUAUAUUUUUAUACACACACUCUACUGUAGAGACCCUGCUCAGGUUUCAGUUUGCGGCCCAAUUUCCUGCCACAGGGUGUGGAUUAAAGUUGCUCGUGAUGCGAUAGCUACACAGCACUUAGCAUGACUGGAAGCCAACAAUGAGUUAAGUGUAUGCAGAAGAGUCCUUGCUCAGCUACUACUUUUUACUGACAAGAAAAAUUCUUCUCAUUGGAGCAGGAAGCAGGAUUUUGGAGAUAACUGGAAAAUGAGUUCUGACUAGGCCUAAACUCCUCUCACUUGGGACCUAGCAGAGAUAUGAGACAAUCAGGUUCAAGUCCUCUAGCCUGUUCAGGACGUAGGGCGUAUGCAUACGCCCUGCAUCCCGAGUCCUUUAGGACGUAGGGCGUAUGGAUACGCCCGUGGGAAUUCCGGUCCCCACCGCUAGCCAGUUGGGGACCGGACUGGGAUGCCUGCUGAAAUCAUUCAGCAGGCAUCCCGGCACAUCGCCGAGGGGGGUCCUGAGACACCCCCAUGUUGGCGAUCGGAAAAAAUGACAUGUCAAUUCAGACAUGCGAUUUUCUCCUAUUUCGGGAUGAUCGGGUCUCUAGUGACCCCAUCACGCGGAAAAUAGGGAUGAUCAGAGCUGUCAGUGACAGCCCCGAUCAUCCUGAAGGAUAGGAGCGAGGUUUCAGCGCUGCAAUCUCCUCCUGUCCCCUGCCAUUAGUCAGAAAUGAGUUCUGACCAAUGGCAGUGCACGACAGGGGGUUGCCAUGGAAACCCCCCGCUCUGCCCACCCCUGGAUGUCGGGCAGAACAGGGGGAGAAGAUGGCGGCCUGUACCUGUGCAGAAGAUGCCGUGCGGACUGCCGUUCAUCGGUAGAGACAGCGGAGAUCAGCGGCGCAGGUAGGGAAGUGACGGUGGGAGGGGGGAAAGAAAGGUGGCAGUAAAGCAAUAUUUACUGCUGCCCUUCUAGUGGUUGCUAAACUGCAACUCCCAGCAUGCCCAGACAGCCAAAGGCUGUCUCGGCAAGCUGGGAGUUGUAGUUUUGCAACAUCUGGAGGGUCACAGUUUGGAGACCACUUUUAAAGUGUUGCCCAAACGGUAGCCC